UACGGAGGGUCCAAGCGUUAUCCGGAAUUAUUGGGUUUAAAGGGUCCGCAGGCGGGCCAGUAAGUCAGAGGUGAAAGUUUGCGGCUUAACCGUAAAAUUGCCUUUGAUACUGCUGGUCUUGAGUUGCGGUGAAGUGGCCGGAAUAUGUGGUGUAGCGGUGAAAUGCAUAGAUAUCACAUAGAACNCCGAUUGCGAAGGCAGGUCACUAACCGCCGACUGACGCUGAUGGACGAAAGCGUGGGGAGCGAACGGGAUUAGAUACCCCGGUAGUCCACGCCGUAAACGAUGGACACUAGCUGUCGGGCCAAUUUGGUUCGGCGGCCCAGCGAAAGUGAUAAGUGUCCCACCUGGGGAGUACGUCGGCAACGAUGAAACUCAAAGGAAUUGACGGGGGCCCGCACAAGCGGUGGAGCAUGUGGUUUAAUUCGAUGAUACGCGAGGAACCUUACCAGGGCUUAAAUGUAGUGGGACAGGGGUAGAGAUACCUUUUUCUUCGGACUCAUUACAAGGUGCUGCAUGGUUGUCGUCAGCUCGUGCCGUGAGGUGUCAGGUUAAGUCCUAUAACGAGCGCAACCCCUACCGUUAGUUGCCAGCGAGUAAUGUCGGGGACUCUAACGGGACUGCCGGUGCAAACCGUGAGGAAGGUGGGGAUGACGUCAAA
rnacentral:rRNA from 1 species